AUGGGUGCAACAACAAUGUGGAUUUUAAGUUAUUGUUUAGCAGUACUUUUAGCCCUUGGAGCAUGUGAUGUUGCAGCUGUGUAUGCAUAUAGCCCUGGUAGCAAUGGUGGACCUCUUGGACCUAAUAAUCCCAGCAAGAGUACAUUUUUACAGUGCUUCAUUUAAAGGGGGCUAUGACACCGGAAGCUACAGUUCCCAGGCUAGUUCUUCAGGCAUUCUCAUGACUGUUGAUAAAACAGGCUCUGAUUCUUCCACUAGAAGCCAACUUCAAGGAUCUAGUGUUGAUUCAACAGGAAGUGAUAGUCUUGUUUAUGGUACUGUGGGAAAUGCAGUGAGUAUUGGCACGUCUGGAAAUGAUGCGAGUUUGUCUUCUACUGUCCAAGGAUCUGACGUAAUCCGUUCUUCUGUCUUGAUGCCAUUGCAACAAAGCAGUUAUUCUGUUCCUGAGCCAGUGCUGCUGACUGCCCAAGUGCAGACUGUCCCCUAUUCCAACAGUCAGCAACCAGCAAGUUCUGAAACCAUGGCCCAGUCUAGACCUCUGCUGUUGUUCCAGUCUAGUGACCAACGACUACCACAGCCUAGUUCCCAGACUGCAGUGCAUGCUGGUAGAAAACCCCAUAAACCUCUGAAAGGUAAACACCAGCAAUCUGGUUCCAAUAUUGUUAUCGGUUCCAGGCCAGUUCAAAAUCCAGUAUUCAACACUUUGAAGCCUCUUAAACCAAAAGAAGAGCCUGCAUCACAUCCUAGCUUACAAAUAGUAGAAUAUGGCAGUGUGCCAAGCAGCCUAGCGGUAGCUGGCUAUGAACUUGUCAGCCAGUCCAGUGGCCAGACUCUAAAUCAACCAAGUGGUGUGCAGCCUCCAGAUGUUGUUGCCCUCUCUGUGGUCCAGCCCAGCAGCCAACUUAUUCAACAGGCAGUUGACACCUCUGUGGGCCAGGCCUCCAGCCAGCAGCUAGUUCUGACAAGCCAAUCUAUUUUCCAGUCAAAUAACCAGCAACCAGUACAUGGUAGUUCUGUCUUUACAGCUAAGCCAAGUGGUCUGACUCCUCUCAAGCCCCAUAAAGGAAGACAUCAGCUUGGGUUCAUGCUUCCAUCCAGUACAAGUACUCUCCAUACACCGAGUUCUAGUUUUGUAGUGCAGACCCCUAGCCAAAUACCAGUACAAGAUAGCUACAUAUCAGGAGUCCAGUCUGCUUCCCAAAAGCCAGGACAAACCAGCUACCUGUCUGUGCCCCAAAUAGUUGUCCAACCAGCACAAAUCAGCUACCAGUCUGUGGCUGAGCCCAGUGUCCAACAACCAGCACAUGUUAGCCUUUCUGUUGCAGCGUCUGCUCCCCAACCGGCACAACCCAGCUACCAGUGGGUGGCACAGCUAGGUCUCCAACAGCCAGCACAUGUCAGCUUAUCUGUAGCCCAACCAAUCAGCCGGCAAGCAGGACAAUCCACCUACGGGUAUGUUGUCGAGCAGAGUGGGCAACCUGUUUUCAAACCAGUGCAUUCUCAUGGGGUUCACCAGAUUGGCUCCAAGCUUUAUUCAUGCCAAGACUUGCCUCUGCACGGUUACCAGAGGAGAUUUCAGUCUCCACCUAGAACAAGUCUUUCAGCCCCAACUCUGCACACCAAGCCUAUUGUACAGUCCAGCGACCAGGCACCUGCAAAGCCUAACCAUCCCAGACCACUCGCAUCUACUCUACAAUCCAUUUUAAUCCCAGCUCAAGCGUUAUCUAGCCAGCAGUUUCUUUCUCGGCCCAGCUACACUCCCCAAGCUUUGCUAGUGGAACCCAUGUACCAACCUCUGGCACAAUCAAAUUCAGAGACCAUCUUCCUCGCUGAACACCAGAUAUCUCCUGUUCCAGGGCAGUUUGUUUCCCAGCCUCAAAUGCUUCCUAGUAGUCAGUCUCUCACUGAGUCAAGCUCUUCUUCCUCAGGCAUGCCAGUGCAGUCCAGCUACCAGCCUCUGGUCUCAUCAAGUUAUGAGACCGUCUUACAGCCUGGAUUUCAGACCUCUUCAGUUUUUCAGUCGGUUCAACCUAAACUUUCAGUUCCACUACAGGUGGAUUAUCAAUCUGUCACAGGUCAAAAUGCUCCUGGACCUACUCAAAACAAUCUGCACCCAUCCCAGAAGUUGUUCAGGCUGUUGCAACAAGUAAAGUCCUAG